AUUGAACGCUGGCGGCAGGCCUAACACAUGCAAGUCGAGCGGAUCGGCGGCCGGGGGAGUAAUGGCUAGGUAUGUGCCUGGGAGUGGUGGAGAACGUUCGGUACUGGGCGCUAAUACUGAUACCUAUCACUUGAGCCUAAGUCGGAAUAGUUUGAUGGUGGGGUAAAGGCCUACCAAGGCGACGACCCGUAACUGGUCUGAGAGGAUGAUCAGUCACACUGGGACUGAGACACGGCCCAGACUCCUACGGGAGGCAGCAGUGGGGAAUAUUGCACAAUGGGCGAAAGCCUGAUCCAGCCAUGCCGCGUGUAUGAAGAAGGUCUUCGGAUUGUAAAGCACUUUAAGCUGGGAGGCGUUACCAACAGAAUAAGCACCGGCUAACUCCGUGCCAGCAGCCGCGGUAAUUC
rnacentral:rRNA from 1 species